GCUACUUCCCAUUUCCUAAUCAAAUCUGCUAAAUAUGAACCCAACGAAUUGAUAAUCAAAAUGUCUAAUCAAGAAAUCUAAAAUUAUGCAACAUAUACUAUUGGCAGCAUUAGCAGUACUUUGUGCCGUCCAAAAUUGUUACUCGUGCGACAAUAACGGUAAUUGCGAUAAGGAAAACGAUGGACCCAUCGAACAGCCUGAUGUCAUUGCAUGUUCAACUGGGUCUUUAGAAUGUUGCAAUAAAGUAUCCGCCAAGGAUAAACUCAGCCCGGAUCAGAUUAACCUCGUCCGAAAUGUUCUAACAAAUGGAUUAUCGGGAUUAAAGGGCCUAUGGGGCUUGACGGACGUACUUCUUAAUUUGAACAACAUUGUGGGAGACAUUGGAUUUCAGUGCUCACCGCUCGCAGUGCCGGUUGUAGGUGCCGCGGUAAGCGUUACUACUUGUAACACUCAAACUGUGUGCUGUAGUAACAACACCUACAACGGUAUAAUUGCACUUGGCUGCAUUCCUAUUGUUUUAAAUACGGGUUAAGUGCAAGGCCACCUGCAAUGUAAUUCAAAGCAUCUUAAACAACAACUUGGGCAGAACAGAACCUCCGACGACAAUAUUAUUCACAUCGAUCGGUUGUUUUGCCUGUCUUUUUAGCAAAUAAAUUGUCACUC